rnacentral:lncRNA from 1 species
CUUCUCUGCCAAUGGAGGCAUUUCCAUAACCAAGCUCUGACUAUUCUUCCAUCCUCUGGUCAGUCCUUCUCCAAAUCCAUUCCCAGCUCUCUCCUCUUCUUCUACAAGUGAAUAUCAAACUCAUUCCAUGUGUUAGGCCCUGACAAUGACACUAAAUUGCAAACUCGUGCUUUGCUGCAGCUGACUUGGCAUGAACAAGCAAAACAUAUAUGUGGGACAUACAUGUUCACAUGGAGCAGAAUGGUGGGGGGAAGAGUGCUCAAAUGUCCUUACGCUGUGUAUCUAUCCUGACUCCCACCUUGGACUCCAGCCUGGCUGUGGAGGGACAGCAGUGGCAUGUGACCUGGGCUGUAAAGAAAGGACACAAUAUGAGCAUGCAGAGAUGGAGGCAUGGGCAUGCUGAGGAGAGAAGCAGAAGACCCCCAGGGCAUGUGGCUGAAAUGUUAGCACCUGCAACUUGAAAUGAACAUAGAACUGAAGGAACCCUCAAUUUCAUGUCAUGUGUCAGUAUAGAGCCAGCAAAUGUGAGAGCUGGGAGAAAUAAGCAAGGUUAUAUCCCUGUGGUGGUCUUUGGCAUGUCAAGUAUAACAGAGGUUGGCACAAGCAAAAUGCUUUCUUCAGUUCCAAAUUCUAAUUUCCCUCCAGAGAACAAUCAUAUUUCCCUUCAGCUUACUUAGAGUGUGAGUCCACUUGC